UACGAAGGGGGCGAGCGUUGUUCGGAAUUACUGGGCGUAAAGGGCGCGUAGGCGGCCCUGGAAGUCAGAUGUGAAAGCCCCGGGCUCAACCUGGGAAUUGCAUUUGAUACUCUGGGGCUGGAGUUCGGGAGAGGAGAGUGGAAUUCCCAGUGUAGAGGUGAAAUUCGUAGAUAUUGGGAAGAACACCGGUGGCGAAGGCGGCUCUCUGGACCGAAACUGACGCUGAGGCGCGAAAGCGUGGGGAGCAAACAGG
rnacentral:rRNA from 1 species